GGGAAGACGUCCCCGAACUUCCAGCUCGCCACUUCCUGCCUCCUUUGGCUUCUUCUUUUUAAUGUUCGUUUAUUUGGCUGCUCUGGGGUUUAGCUCCAGCACGCAGGAUCUUGCAUGGCCGCACACAGAACUCAGCUGUGUCACGUGGGAUCCAGUUCCCUAACCCGGAGUCGAACCUGGGCCCACCCGCGUUGGGAAGGCAGAGUCUGGACCACCAGGGAAGUCCCACUGCCAUUGCUUCUUACCACCGGGUUUUCAUGACCCCUAGUGGUGAAUAGGGGGAAGGACCGCUUUAAAGUUGAAGGUGAGUGUUGCUCAUUGUCUCA
rnacentral:lncRNA from 1 species